rnacentral:rRNA from 1 species
GAUGAACGCUGGCGGCGUGCCUAACACAUGCAAGUCGAGCGGGAAGCUCCUGAUUGAAACUUCGGUCGAUUGAUGGAGCCGAUAGCGGCGGACGGGUGAGUAACGCGUAGGCAACCUGCCCCUCACAGAGGGAUAGCCACUGGAAACGGUGAUUAAUACCUCAUAACGCGAGAGAGUCACAUGGUUCUUUCGCCAAAGAUUUAUCGCUGAAAGAUGGCCUCGCGUCUGAUUAGCUAGUUGGUGGGGUAACGGCCCACCAAGGCGACGAUCAGUAGCCGGCCUGAGAGGGUGAACGGCCACAUUGGGACUGAGACACGGCCCAA